rnacentral:rRNA from 1 species
CCUACGGGUUGCAGCAGUGGGGAAUAUUGGGCAAUGGGCGAAAGCCUGACGGAGCAAUGCCGCGUGGAGGUAGAAGGCCCACGGGUCGUGAACUUCUUUUCCCGGAGAAGAAGCAAUGACGGUAUCUGGGGAAUAAACAUCGGCUAACUCUGUGCCAGCAGCCGCGGUAAUACAGAGGAUGCAAGCGUUGUUCGGAAUUACUGGGCGUAAAGCGCGCGUAGGCGGAUAGAUAAGUCAGAGGUGAAAUCCCGGGGCUCAACCCCGGAAUUGCCUUUGAUACUGUUUAUCUUGAGUGCAGAAGAGGUAAGUGGAAUUCCGAGUGUAGAGGUGAAAUUCGUAGAUAUUCGGAGGAACACCAGUGGCGAAGGCGGCUUACUGGUCUGCAACUGACGCUGAGGCGCGAAAGCAUGGGGAGCAAACAGGAUUAGAUACCCGCGUAGUC